UCCGGCUGGAUGCACGGGGACGCUGGUUCCGGUUUUCCCGUCAGCGUGUUGAAUGGAGCUGGGGCGAUCUUGCGUAUCUGAGCCACGGCACGGGCAGGCCAAAGGGCCCCCCCCCCCCCCCCGGGGCAAGGACAGAGGGCUCCGUGUCUGUGCACGCGGUGCCUCGAAGCGGCAGCCGACUGCAGGGACGCUCCGCGCCCUCCCUGUUUGGCAGCAGCCUGGCGCCUCUUCCUGCAGGUCGACAAGAGGAAAACCGGUUGGCAGCUGAACGCCGCCGACAAGCGUGUGGAGAUCCCCAACGUUCUGGACUCCGUGGAGUUGCUGGAGCCCGGCGGUGGCGCUCACUGGAAGUGCCAGAUUCACGGCAACCGGCACGGCCCGAUGUCGCAUGCCGUCGCACGCCUCUCCGUGUCUGAGAUCUGAAGGGGCUCCUGGAGGCGUGCCCCCGCCUACGGGUUUUGUACGGGAGAAACUGGAUUAAAGCAUUGGCAAGCUUGCCACCUCCCACG